UGGGGAAUCUUGGACAAUGGGCGAAAGCCUGAUCCAGCGACGCCGCGUGGGUGAUGAAGGCCUUCGGGUUGUAAAGCCCUGUUGAGGGGAAAGAAAACGUUGGGCGCGAACAGCUCCCGACCUUGACGGUACCCCUCCAGAAAGCACCGGCUAACUCUGUGCCAGCAGCCGCGGUAAUA
rnacentral:rRNA from 1 species